ACUGCCAUUGUUAGGUGAAUCCUGCACAAUCACAGCAUCUUAUGGCCACAUGGCUGCCAUCUGCAAUCUCCUGCUGGCUUCCCCACUGACUUUGCUUAAAGUUUCCUUUGUCCUAGGAUUCUUUUUGUUGUUGUUGUUGUUUCCCAGCCUAGACCACCACUCUGGAAUUUUCUUCUCCAGGGACUAAGCAGGUGCAACCUUACUCAGCUUUUUUUCAGAUCAGCCAACAUCUGCUACGUUCUACCACCUCCGGAAGAGAACUAUUGUCUCCCUUAAGUCAAGUUCCACUCCUGAUGCCUUCAUAUAGUAAUCAUUCACUGGAACAACUUCAACAUUCGUAUGAAUCAGUUCGGUGUUGCCUGGUUACCACACAUAACCAAGGACUGUUAUGAGGGAGAGCACAUGGAGCACAUGAAGAACGGAAAUCUCGUUUGGCUGUAAAAUGUUUAUUCAGAGUGGAAAAAAUAAUGGCAAGACCAAUCGAAAAUAUAC